rnacentral:rRNA from 1 species
UACAGAGGGGGCAAGCGUUAUUCGGAAUUAUUGGGCGUAAAGGGCGCGUAGGCGGCCUGGCAAGUGGAAGGUGAAAUCCCUCGGCUUAACCGAGGAACUGCCCUCCAAACUGCUUGGCUUGAGUCCGGGAGAGGUGAGUGGAAUUCCCAGUGUAGCGGUGAAAUGCGUAGAUAUUGGGAGGAACACCAGUGGCGAAGGCGGCUCACUGGACCGGAACUGACGCUGAGGCGCGAAAGCCAGGGGAGCAAACGGG